GUGGGGAAUCUUGCGCAAUGGGCGAAAGCCUGACGCAGCCAUGCCGCGUGAAUGAUGAAGGUCUUAGGAUUGUAAAAUUCUUUCACCGGGGACGAUAAUGACGGUACCCGGAGAAGAAGCCCCGGCUAACUUCGUGCCAGCAGCCGCGGUAAUACGAAGGGGGCUAGCGUUGCUCGGAAUUACUGGGCGUAAAGGGCGCGUAGGCGGACAGUUUAGUCAGAGGUGAAAGCCCAGGGCUCAACCUUGGAAUUGCCGUUGAUACUGGCUGUCUUGAGUACGGGAGAGGUGAGUGGAACUCCGAGUGUAGAGGUGAAAUUCGUAGAUAUUCGGAAGAACACCAGUGGCGAAGGCGACUCACUGGCCCGUUACUGACGCUGAGGCGCGAAAGCGUGGGGAGCAAACAGGAUUAGAUACCCUUGUAGUCC
rnacentral:rRNA from 1 species